rnacentral:rRNA from 1 species
UACAGAGGGGGCAAGCGUUGUUCGGAAUACUGGGCGUAAGGCGUGCGCAGGCGGUUCGCUAAGACAGAUGUGAAAUCCCCGGGCUUAACCUGGGAACUGCAUUUGUGACUGGCGGGCUAGAGUAUGGCAGAGGGGGGUAGGAAUUCCACGUGUAGCAGUGAAAUGCGUAGAGAUGUGGAGGAAUACCGAUGGCGAAGGCAGCCCCCUGGGCCAAUACUGACGCUCAUGCACGAAAGCGUGGGGAGCAAACAGG